UACGACGGGUACGGGUUGUGAGAGCAAGAGCCCGGAGAUGGAUUCUGAGACACGAAUCCAGGCCCUACGGGGUGCAGCAGGCGCGAAAACUUUACAAUGCUGGCAACAGCGAUAAGGGAACCUCGAGUGCCAGGUUACAAAUCUGGCUGUCGAGAUGCCUAAAAAGCAUUUCAUAGCAAGGGCCGGGCAAGACCGGUGCCAGCCGCCGCGGUAACACCGGCGGCUCGAGUGGUAACCGUUAUUAUUGGGUCUAAAGGGUCUGUAGCCGGCCGGAUAAGUCUCUUGAGAAAUCUGGCAGCUUAACUGUCAGGCUUUCAGGAGAUACUGUCUGGCUCGAGGCCGGGAGAGGUGAGAGGUACUUCAGGGGUAGGGGUGAAAUCUUGUAAUCCUUGAAGGACCACCAGUGGCGAAGGCGUCUCACCAGAACGGACCUGACGGCAAGGGACGAAAGCUAGGGGCACGAACCGGAUUAGAUACCCGGGUAGUCCUAGCCGUAAACGAUACUCGCUAGGUGUCGGCCACGGUGCGACCGUUGUCGGUGCCGUAGGGAAGCCGUGAAGCGAGC
rnacentral:rRNA from 1 species